rnacentral:rRNA from 1 species
UUGGAGGGCAAGUCUGGUGCCAGCAGCCGCGGUAAUUCCAGCUCCAAUAGCGUAUAUUAAAGUUGUUGCAGUUAAAAAGCUCGUAGUUGAAUUUCGGGGUUAGUAGGUUGGUCGUGCCUCAGGUAUGUACUGAUCUCACUGAUUCCUCCUUCCUGAUGAACCGUAAUGCCAUUAAUUUGGUGUUGCGGGGAAACUGGACUGUUACUUUGAAAAAAUUAGAGUGCUCCAGGCAGGCCUAUGCUCGAAUACAUUAGCAUGGAAUAAUAGAAUAGGACGUGUGGUUCUAUUUUGUUGGUUUCUAGGACCGCCGUAAUGAUUAAUAGGGACAGUCGGGGGCAUCAGUAUUCAAUUGUCAGAGGUGAAAUUCUUGGAUUUAUUGAAGACUAACUACUGCGAAAGCAUUUGCCAAGGAUGUUUUCAUUAAUCAGGAACGAAAGUUAGGGGAUCGAAGACGAUCAGAUACCGUCGUAGUCUUAACCAUAAACUAUGCCGACUAGGGAUCGGACGAUGUUAACUUUUCUUGACUCGUUCGGCGCCUUACGGGAAA